rnacentral:rRNA from 1 species
AGGAAGUAAAAGUCGUAACAAGGUUUCCGUAGGUGAACCUGCGGAAGGAUCAUUAACGAGUUAUUGAACAGGUUGUAGCUGGCCUUCAGGGGCAUGUGCACGCCUGGCUCAUCCACUCUUCAACCUCUGUGCACUUAUUGUAGGUCGGUGGAAGAGUAAGUCUAAGUGAUUAGACUUGCUUGGAAGCCUUCCUAUGUUUUUACAAACGCUUCAGUUUAAGAAUGUAUCUCUGCGUAUAACGCAUUUAUAUACAACUUUCAGCAACGGAUCUCUUGGCUCUCGCAUCGAUGAAGAACGCAGCGAAAUGCGAUAAGUAAUGUGAAUUGCAGAAUUCAGUGAAUCAUCGAAUCUUUGAACGCACCUUGCGCUCCCUGGUAUUCCGGGGAGCAUGCCUGUUUGAGUGUCAUGGUAUUCUCAACCUUCAUAACUUUUGUUAUCGAAGGCUUGGAUUUGGAGGUUGUGCUGGCUUCUCGUCAAGUCGGCUCCUCUUAAAAGCAUUAGCGUGAGUGUAACGGAUCGCUUCGGUGUGAUAAUUAUCUGCGCCGUGGUCGUGAAGUAACAUAAGCUUGCGCUUCUAACCGUCCUUCAGCUGGACAAAUUUACUCUGACAUCUGACCUCAAAUCAGGUAGGACUACCCGCUGAACUUAAGCAUAUCAAUAAGCGGAGGAAAAGAAACUAACAAGGAUUCCCCUAGUAACUGCGAGUGAAGCGGGAAAAGCUCAAAUUUAAAAUCUGAUAGUCUUUGGCUGUCCGAGUUGUAAUCUGGAGAAGCGUCUUCCGCGCUGGACCGUGUA